rnacentral:tRNA from 1 species
AUUAAAGUGGCAGAAAGUGCGAGAAAUUUAAGCUUUCUUAAUGAUGUAAUCCUUUAAUA